CUGGGCGCGUGCUUACCAUGCAAGUCGAACGGAGAUUCAGCAAUGGAUCUUAGUGGCGAACGGGUGAGUAACGCGUAGGCAAUCUGCCUUCUAGAUGGGGACAACAUCCCGAAAGGGGUGCUAAUACCGAAUGUUGUAAUUGGUUCGCAUGGACUAGCUACUAAAGGUGGCCUCUGAAUAUGCUACCGCUAGAAGAUGAGCCUGCGUCUGAUUAGCUAGUUGGAGGGGUAACGGCCCACCAAGGCUUCGAUCAGUAGCCGGUCUGAGAGGAUGAACGGCCACACUGGGACUGAGACACGGCCCAGACUCCUACGGGAGGCAGCAGUGGGGAAUCUUCCGCAAUGGACGAAAGUCUGACGGAGCAACGCCGCGUGAGUGAAGAAGGUUUUCGGAUCGUAAAGCUCUUUCGUUAGGGACGAACGUGCUCUUUGUGAAUAAUGAGGAGUAAUGACGGUACCUAAAUAAGAAGCCACGGCUAACUACGUGCCAGCAGCCGCGGUAAUACGUAGGUGGCAAGCGUUGUCCGGAAUUAUUGGGCGUAAAGCGCGCGCAGGCGGGAUAUCAAGUCUGUCUUAAAAGUGCGAGGCUCAACCUCGUGAGGGGACGGAAACUGGUAUUCUUGAGUGUCGGAGAGGAAAGUGGAAUUCCAAGUGUAGCGGUGAAAUGCGUAGAGAUUUGGAAGAACACCAGUGGCGAAGGCGACUUUCUGGACGAUGUCUGACGCUGAGGCGCGAAAGCUAGGGGAGCGAACGGGAUUAGAUACCCCGGUAGUCCUAGCCGUAAACGAUGGGUACUAAGGUGUAGGGGGUAUCGACCCCUC
rnacentral:rRNA from 1 species